rnacentral:rRNA from 1 species
UACGUAUGGAGCAAGCGUUAUCCGGAUUUACUGGGUGUAAAGGGAGCGUAGGCGGCCUGGUAAGUCUGGUGUGAAAUACCGGGGCCCAACCCCGGGACUGCAUUGGAAACUGCCAGGCUGGAGUGUCGGAGGGGCAGGCGGAAUUCCUAGUGUAGCGGUGAAAUGCGUAGAUAUUAGGAGGAACACCGGUGGCGAAGGCGGCCUGCUGGACGACAACUGACGCUGAGGCUCGAAAGCGUGGGGAGCAAACAGG